rnacentral:tRNA from 3 species
GUUUCUGUAGUUAAGGGUUUAACGGUGGCUUUUCAGGCCACAGACCUUGGAUAGAGUCCAAGUGGAAACU